CAUGCUGUUUCAUUUGCGUAACUUAAUUAGUAAUGAAAGUUCAGUUGCUUCGUAUUUUAGUGUUCAAUGCGGUGAUAUACCAUGGGGAAAUGGUCCCAAUGAGGAGGGACCCCUCUGAGGGUCGAAUAGUUAAUGGAAUUCCAGUUCCUAUGGAACAGUACCCUUCAGCUGUGAAGAUUUUUAACGAUGGAAACCUUUGCGCUGGCUCACUGCUAAAUAGCUGGAGUAUCUUGACUGCAGCCCAUUGUUUUGAUAAUAAUUUAGAUGUUGAUGAAAUGAUUAUUGAUGUUGGCGGACGGUACUUAUACGAUAAAGACGCGGUGUCAUACGCAGUAGAAAAAGUAGUUGUUCACAAUGAUUACAACAAAUACUUGCUGUUUGGAUGUGACAUUGCCAUGGUGUUUGUGAAGACCCCCGUCAAGUUUAGCAACAGAACUAAGAAGGCUAUAUUGAUCAACACAAAUGCAUUUAUGAAUGAGAAGCAAAACAAUUUUGAAGCCACUGGAUGGGGAAUGACUAAGUAUAUGGGCUCCAUAUCUGAUUUGGGACUUUUGAAAACAGAAUUGCAAUUCGUAUCUAAGAAAAAAUGUGAGGCCAUGCACAAUUCCAAGUUUACAAAGGAUAUGUUUUGUUUGUACGGCGAUGGACAUCGAGACACCUGUAUGGGGGACUCAGGUGGUGGCAUCAUAUGGAACGGAAUGGUGGCCGGUAUCGUAUCCCACGGAGAAGGCUGUGCAAAAAAAGAUAAACCAAGUAUUAACGUAAAUGUGUUCUACUUCCGAAAAUGGAUUGAAAAAACUAUAGAGAAGUUUAUCGACGACUACUGUAAAAA